rnacentral:rRNA from 1 species
CGGGUGAGUAACGCGUGGCAACCUGCCCCGCACUGGGGGACAACAGCCGGAAACGGCUGGCUAAUACCGCAUAUGCGCACAGCUUUGCAUGAAGCAGUGUGGAAAACUCCGGUGGUGCGGGAUGGGCCCGCGUCUGAUUAGCUGGUUGGCGGGGCAACGGCCCACCAAGGCGACGAUCAGUAGCCGGCCUGAGAGGGUGGACCGGCCACAUUGGGACUGAGACACGGCCCAGACUCCUACGGGAGGCAGCAG